UACAGAGGGUGCGAGCGUUGUCCGGAAUCACUGGGCGUAAAGGGCGCGUAGGUGGCUUGCUAAGCGUGUGGUGAAAGCCCGGGCUCAACCCCGGGUCGGCCGUGCGAACUGGCGAGCUGGAGCACUGUAGAGGCAGGUGGAAUUCCGGGUGUAGCGGUGGAAUGCGUAGAGGAAUCCCGGAACGAAGCACCGGUGGGCGAAGGCGGCCUGCUGGGCAGUUGCUGACAGCUGAGGCG
rnacentral:rRNA from 1 species